UUGGAGGCACUGUGUGAGAAAAAGGUAGAACCCCCUUCUAAAAUACCUGCCCCUCAUGUUUUUGUAAGUACUUACUAAAUCUGCCCAGUUAAACAAGGAUAGGUCUGUAACUGACUGAAUAUUUCAACCUUAGUGAGCAGUUAAAUGGGAAUAGCAGGGUUUUUGUUCAUGCCAUAUGCUAAGUUAGAAACUAUCUUUUUCCAAAAUGAUUUGUUUCCUUAAAAGUAAUUUUUAAUAAGCUGACAGUGUUCAAAUCAGUGUUGUUUUUAUAGUGAACUGGUUCAUAUGUCACAUCAAACUGUAGUUACAAUAAACAAUGGCUUAAUUUGAAAUCCUAGACCGGGGGUUGGUCAGUUUAGGAUUUAACCCCAAGGUUGUUGAGCUUUUUUAAGGAUUUUACCCUAGGACAUAUACUGCAAUGAAGGCCAGAUUAAAUCGACUGGCAGGCCCCAAAAACAGGCUUUCGACAUGCCUGUCUUAGACGCUUCACUUUUCCGCAGGUCCUACUGCUGUCAUACUGCUGGGAAACAAACCAUUUAAAACUAUGGUUUAAUGUGACUUGCAAACAUUGCCACUAUUUGUCCGCUAUAGUGAUAGCACAAAAUCUUGUUAGUGCAGGUUUUUCUUGCAUACUAACAUUGGCCUCAAUUUUAUUUGGAGACCAAAUUUCAGUUUGGUCUUUACAAACAUUAUAAAUGUACUUUGAAUUGCAUCUGAAACAUGCUUAGUCUUGUAAAAUGUUAUAUCUGGAAACAAUUAUGUGCUUCAAUAUGAACAAAUCUAAAAAGAUAAACAUUGUAAUACCUGUAUUUUCUAAUUUGCUGAUAUACCCAGAAUAUCAUUCUAUCAUAGUAAAAAAUGAAUACCUACAUUUAGUCCUCUUGUUUCAUCUGUCUAUAAUGCAUUUGUCCUUGCUUUUCAAUGUUUAACUCUACGUUUUUUUCUUUCAAUGCAAAUUUUGAAAGGUUUCAAACUUAAUGAAAGCAAUGAUACUAACAGUGCAAUCCUGUGCAUGUCCUUUCAGUCCCAUGAAUUUCAGUCAGACUUACUUCCAGGUAUAGGAUUGCUGCCAUGUAUAAUAUGAGGCUGUGAUUUUAAUUGCCACUUCACUGUGACCCAAUAAAGUUAACAAGCCUCCACCAAA